rnacentral:rRNA from 1 species
UACGUAGGGGGCGAGCGUUGUCCGGAUUCAUUGGGCGUAAAGAGCUCGUAGGCGGUUUGAUAAGUCGGGUGUGAAAUCUCCAGGCUCAACCUGGAGAGGUCACUCGAGACUGUUAUGACUAGAGUCCGGUAGGGGACCACGGAAUUCCUGGUGUAGCGGUGAAAUUCGUAGAUAUCAGGAGGAACACCGGUGGCGAAGGCGGAUCUCUGGGCCUUACCUGACGCUGAGGCGCGAAAGCUAGGGGAGCGAACAGG